rnacentral:rRNA from 1 species
AACGAACGCUGGCGGCAUGCCUAACACAUGCAAGUCGAACGAGACCUUCGGGUCUAGUGGCGCACGGGUGCGUAACGCGUGGGAACCUGCCCUUAGGUUCGGAAUAACUCCCCGAAAGGGGUGCUAAUACCGGAUAAUGUCUUCGGACCAAAGAUUUAUCGCCUUUGGAUGGGCCCGCGUUGGAUUAGCUAGUUGGUAGGGUAAAAGCCUACCAAGGCGACGAUCCAUAGCUGGUCUGAGAGGAUGAUCAGCCACACUGGGACUGAGACACGGCCCAGACUCCUACGGGAGGCAGCAGUGGGGAAUAUUGGACAAUGGGCGAAAGCCUGAUCCAGCAAGGCCGCGUGAGUGAUGAAGGCCUUAGGGUUGUAAAGCUCUUUUACCCGGGAGGAUAAUGACAGUACCGGGAGAAUAAGCGCCGGCUAACUCCGUG